rnacentral:rRNA from 1 species
GUACAGGUGCUGCAUGGCUGUCGUCAGCUCGUGUCGUGAGAUGUUCGGUUAAGUCCGCUAACGAGCGCAACCCUCGCUGUGUGUUACAAGUGUCACACGGAACUGCCGGUCAUAAACCGGAGGAAGGUGGGGAUGACGUCAAGUCAGCAUGGCCUUUAUAUCCUGGGCUACACACACGCUACAAUGGGAAGGGACAAUAGGUUGCGAAGCCGCGAGGUGGAGCCAAUCCAGCAAAACUUCCCUCAGUUCAGAUUGCAGGUUGCAACUCGCCUGCAUGAAGUUGGAGUUGCUAGUAAACGCAGGUCAGCCAUACUGCGUUGAAUACGUUCCCGGGGCUU